rnacentral:rRNA from 1 species
ACUCCUACGGGAGGCAGCAGUGGGGAAUUUUGGACAAUGGGCGAAAGCCUGAUCCAGCAAUGCCGCGUGCAGGAUGAAGGCCUUCGGGUUGUAAACUGCUUUUGUACGGAACGAAAAAGCUCCUUCUAAUACAGGGGGCCCAUGACGGUACCGUAAGAAUAAGCACCGGCUAACUACGUGCCAGCAGCCGCGGUAAUACGUAGGGUGCGAGCGUUAAUCGGAAUUACUGGGCGUAAAGCGUGCGCAGGCGGUUAUGUAAGACAGAUGUGAAAUCCCCGGGCUCAACCUGAGAACUGCAUUUGUGACUGCAUGGCUAGAGUACGGUAGAGGGGGAUGGAAUUCCGCGUGUAGCAGUGAAAUGCGUAGAUAUGCGGAGGAACACCGAUGGCGAAGGCAAUCCCCUGGACCUGUACUGACGCUCAUGCACGAAAGCGUGGGGAGCAAACAGGAGUAGAUACCCCUGUAGUCCCA